rnacentral:rRNA from 1 species
CGGAAGACCAAGGGUUCCUGUCCAACGUUAAUCGGGGCAGGGUGAGUCGACCCCUAAGGCGAGGCCGAAAGGCGUAGUCGAUGGGAAACGGGUUAAUAUUCCCGUACUUGGUGUUACUGCGAAGGGGGGACGGAGAAGGCUAUGUUGGCCGGGCGACGGUUGUCCCGGUUUAAGCGUGUAGGUGUGUGUUCCAGGUAAAUCCGGUUCACUUUAACACUGAGGCGUGACGACGAGGCACUACGGUGCUGAAGCAACAAAUGCCCUGCUUCCAGGAAAAGCCUCUAAGCAUCAGGUAACAUCAAAUCGUACCCCAAACCGACACAGGUGGUCAGGUAGAGAAUACCAAGGCGCUUGAGAGAACUCGGGUGAAGGAACUAGGCAAAAUGGUGCCGUAACUUCGGGAGAAGGCACGCUGACACGUAGGUGAAGUGAUUUACUCAUGGAGCUGAAGUCAGUCGAAGAUACCAGCUGGCUGCAACUGUUUAUUAAAAACACAGCACUGUGCAAACACGAAAGUGGACGUAUACGGUGUGACGCCUGCCCGGUGCCGGAAGGUUAAUUGAUGGGGUCAGCGCAAGCGAAGCUCCUGAUCGAAGCCCCGGUAAACGGCGGCCGUAACUAUAACGGUCCUAAGGUAGCGAAAUUCCUUGUCGGGUAAGUUCCGACCUGCACGAAUGGCGUAAUGAUGGCCAGGCUGUCUCCACCCGAGACUCAGUGAAAUUGAACUCGCUGUGAAGAUGCAGUGUACCCGCGGCAAGACGGAAAGACCCCGUGAACCUUUACUAUAGCUUGACACUGAACAUUGAGCCUUGAUGUGUAGGAUAGGUGGGAGGCUUUGAAGUGUGGACGCCAGUCUGCAUGGAGCCGACCUUGAAAUACCACCCUUUAAUGUUUGAUGUUCUAACGUGGACCCGUUACCCGGGUUGCGGACAGUGUCUGGUGGGUAGUUUGACUGGGGCGGUCUCCUCCUAAAGAGUAACGGAGGAGCACGAAGGUUGGCUAAUCCUGGUCGGACAUCAGGAGGUUAGUGCAAUGGCAUAAGCCAGCUUGACUGCGAGCGUGACGGCGCGAGCAGGUGCGAAAGCAGGUCAUAGUGAUCCGGUGGUUCUGAAUGGAAGGGCCAUCGCUCAACGGAUAAAAGGUACUCCGGGGAUAACAGGCUGAUACCGCCCAAGAGUUCAUAUCGACGGCGGUGUUUGGCACCUCGAUGUCGGCUCAUCACAUCCUGGGGCUGAAGUAGGUCCCAAGGGUAUGGCUGUUCGCCAUUUAAAGUGGUACGCGAGCUGGGUUUAGAACGUCGUGAGACAGUUCGGUCCCUAUCUGCCGUGGGCGCUGGAGAACUGAGGGGGGCUGCUCCUAGUACGAGAGGACCGGAGUGGACGCAUCACUGGUGUUCGGGUUGUCAUGCCAAUGGCACUGCCCGGUAGCUAAAUGCGGAAGAGAUAAGUGCUGAAAGCAUCUAAGCACGAAACUUGCCCCGAG